CCUACGGGAGGCAGCAGUGAGGAAUAUUGGUCAAUGGACGAGAGUCUGAACCAGCCAAGUAGCGUGAAGGAUGACUGCCCUAUGGGUUGUAAACUUCUUUUAUAUGGGAAUAAAACGUUCCACGUGUGGGAUUUUGUAUGUACCAUAUGAAUAAGGAUCGGCUAACUCCGUGCCAGCAGCCGCGGUAAUACGGAGGAUCCGAUCGUUAUCCGGAUUUAUUGGGUUUAAAGGGAGCGUAGGUGGAUUGUUAAGUCAGGUGUGAAAGUUUGCGGCUCAACCGUAAAAUUGCAGUUGAAACUGGCAGUCUUGAGUACAGUAGAGGUGGGCGGAAUUCGUGGUGUAGCGGUGAAAUGCUUAGAUAUCACGAAGAACUCCGAUUGCGAAGGCAGUUCACUGGACUGCAACUGACACUGAGGCUCGAAAGUGUGGGUAUCAAACAGGAUUAGAUACCCCAGUAGUC
rnacentral:rRNA from 1 species